ACGCACACACCUCACUCCGCUGCUGGGAAGCUGCCGCACGUGUGGUCUGGCUGUACCUGAACCCACUUAGUCACCUGGGUCUCAUCCUGUCACCAGCAGAUGUAGCCUAACCCAGCCUAGUGGCCAGCCCUGCCACGCCGACUGCCCCGCCCUCCCAUCCUUACCGGCCUGGACACUCCAAGAGGUUCUUCUUAGUUCAUCCUGUCCUUGGGACCUGCCAUAUACAUUUUAGAACUACCGCCGUUAUUUUGCAACCUUACAAAGGAGAAAUCAUUCUUCUUUUACAGCAGAAGAAAACAAGAUUUAAAAAAUAUUGAAGAUGAUCCACAGCAAAGAGCCGGGGGUGGUGGUCCACGUAAUCCCAGCUACUUGGGA